rnacentral:rRNA from 1 species
AGAAUCAACGCUGGCGGCGUGCCUCAGACAUGCAAGUCGAACGCGAAAGUUUCCUUCGGGAAACAAGUAGAGUGGCGCACGGGUGAGUAACACGUAGGUAAUCUACCUUUGGAUGGGGAAUAACAACCGGAAACGGUUGCUAAUACCGCAUAAUGCAGCGGCACCUAAUGGUGACAGUUGUUAAAGCGGGGAUCGAAAGACCUCGCGUCUAAAGAGGAGCCUGCGGCGGAUUAGCUAGUUGGUAAGGUAACGGCUUACCAAGGCUACGAUCCGUA